AGAGUUUGAUCAUGGCUCAGAUUGAACGCUGGCGGCAUGCCUUACACAUGCAAGUCGAACGGUAACGCGGGGCAACCUGGCGACGAGUGGCGAACGGGUGAGUAAUGCAUCGGAACGUGCCCAGUAGUGGGGGAUAGCCCGGCGAAAGCCGGAUUAAUACCGCAUACGACCUACGGGUGAAAGCGGGGGACUCGCAAGAGCCUCGCGCUAUUGGAGCGGCCGAUGUCAGAUUAGGUAGUUGGUGGGGUAAAAGCCUACCAAGCCGACGAUCUGUAGCUGGUCUGAGAGGACGACCAGCCACACUGGGACUGAGACACGGCCCAGACUCCUACGGGAGGCAGCAGUGGGGAAUUUUGGACAAUGGGCGCAAGCCUGAUCCAGCCAUGCCGCGUGCGGGAAGAAGGCCUUCGGGUUGUAAACCGCUUUUGUCAGGGAAGAAACGCUCUGGGCUAAUACCCUGGGGUAAUGACGGUACCUGAAGAAUAAGCACCGGCUAACUACGUG
rnacentral:rRNA from 1 species